rnacentral:rRNA from 1 species
GAGUUUGAUCCUGGCUCAGAAUCAACGCUGGCGGCGUGCCUCAGACAUGCAAGUCGAACGAUUAAACUUUCCUUCGGGAAAGAUAUAAAGUGGCGCACGGGUGAGUAACACGUAGGUAAUCUACCUUUGAGUGGGGAAUAACAAUCGGAAACGAUUGCUAAUACCGCAUAAUGCAGCGGCACCGCAAGGUGACAGUUGUUAAAGGAGCAAUCCGCUUAAAGAGGAGCCUGCGGCAGAUUAGCUAGUUGGUAAGGUAAUGGCUUACCAAGGCUACGAUCUGUAACCGACCUGAGAGGGUGGUCGGUCACACUGACACUGAAUAACGGGUCAGACUCCUACGGGAGGCAGCAGUCGGGAAUUUUGGGCAAUGGGCGAAAGCCUGACCCAGCAACGCCGCGUGAAGGAUGAAGUAUUUCGGUAUGUAAACUUCGAAAGAAUAGGAAGAAUAAAUGACGGUACUAUUUAUAAGGUCCGGCUAACUACGUGCCAGCAGCCGCGGUAAUACGUAGGGACCAAGCGUUGUUCGGAUUUACUGGGCGUAAAGGGCGCGUAGGCGGCAGUUCAAGUCAGUUGUGAAAUCUCCGAGCUUAACUCGGAACGGUCAACUGAUACUGUUUUGCUAGAGUGCAGAAGGGGCAAUCGGAAUUCUUGGUGUAGCGGUGAAAUGCGUAGAUAUCAAGAGGAACACCUGAGGUGAAGACGGGUUGCUGGGCUGACACUGACGCUGAGGCGCGAAAGCUAGGGUAGCAAACGGGAUUAGAUACCCCGGUAGUCCUAGCCCUAAACGAUGAAUACUUGGUGUCUGGAGUAAUUUAAUUCUCCGGGUGCCGUCGCUAACGUUUUUAGUAUUCCGCCUGGGGAGUACGCACGCAAGUGUGAAACUCAAAGGAAUUGACGGGGACCCGCACAAGCGGUGGAGCA